AAGGAUGUGAGCUCCACGAUCUGGCUGAUGACCUCAUCAGACACUGACAAGUCCAGGUACCUCAUGAUGCGCUCCACUUCACGCCGAGGAUUCUGGAGAAGUAAAUAUGAUGUAACCUUUCACAUGGUCGUACCAGGAGCCCCAGGCCACUGUAGAGACAAAAGUUACUGAGCAUCUUUCAUGGUCUAAAGCAACAUUUUCUCCUGAUUGGCAUCACCUUGACUCUGCAGCCUCGCAGGGUGCUGUUAAUCCUGUCAUGGUCAUUGAGGCAUAAGGUUCUCACAGGGAAAAACACUGAGGUCCACACACUCACAUCUGGGAGCUCAGGGUUUUCUCUUGGCUGUUGCAGCUCCAACAGAGUAGGUGAUGCCAGUGAGCCCUCUGGGGGUGUUUUGGGCCUAUCAUGGAAACACCAGUGAAGGGCACUACCCACUUGAUGACUCUAAUGAAGAUUUUACCCUCCCUAAACUUCCACCCACUCCCCCAGCAUGGCUCCAACUUUCACUCACAAGUGCUAGAAGGUCAACAACAAUCGACCAGUUUAACUCCACCUCGAUUAAAGUUAGGAGUUGAAACCAGAUUUCCAGAGUGUCAUUGACUACAAGACUCAUAAACCAUCAGACCAAUCACUAUCUAUUGAUUGGCUAUGAGACCAGGAAGUGUGAGGGGUGCACCUUCCUUCAACACAGACCCUCUUUGGCUAUUGAGGCCAUAGCAACAGCAUUGGAAGCUCCCACUGGCUCAAGUGAGGUGUCAAUCAAAAGGUCAGGAGUUUUUGUUCAUUUGGGUAGCAAGGAGUUGGCAUACUUAAACGCGAAUGGAAGAAAUUAUGAUCGUCCUGACCACUGGGAGUGCAUGAAGACAACAUGAGCACCAUUUUUAUCAGCAUGAUAUGGAUUGGUGGAUCAAAAUAAUGCUUCAUAGACCAGGAGCAGACUGAUGCACCUUUUCUCAUGAAGGAGGAGAUGGAGCGAUCAAAAACAGUCGCUGGGAUGAAGGAGUAGUUGGUCAUUGGGUUCUCCUUCAUGUUCUUAAAGGACGUGAGCUCCACAAUCCGGCUGAUGACCUCAUCAGACACUGACAAGUCCAGGUACCUCAUGAUGCGCUCCACUUCACGCCGAGGAUUCUGGAGAAGUAAAUAUGAUGGAGGCACCAGCUGAAAAGGAAGGUGUGUCUUGAUGACUCUUGGAGGAUCCAUGGUGUUAAGAAGAUCAAUACCUGAAACAUCAGUUCAGAGAAAAAGAUAUGUACAUAUGAAAGAAUUAAACUUUUGUUCAACACUAUCUCAGAUUCCAUGUUAUAAAGCUAAUAUUAGCUCUUUUUAAUGUGACAUCAUUGACUAACAAAUCUUUCUUGGUUAAUUAAUUUACUUGACAGCUUUGAACUUACCCAACAUGUAUAUGAAGCCACUCAUCAGUAUUGGUAACACUCUAACUUUGUAAUAACAGCAGGAUUAAACAUGGACAAUGAUUCAGUAUUGGAGUUACCUAUCUCUGACCAUCACUGUGUGUUUUUUGGUGCCAAACUAAACCCAACAAAGACUAAAGGUGAAGUUCUGGUUUAAAAAAAGACAUUUCAAGAUGGCAAGACUGAAGCAGAGUUCUCUGAGUCAUACAGCUAUGGCUGCUCUGUAAAUGACAUGGUUGAAAAUGUAAACAAUACUUUGUCAUCUGCCUUAAAUACUGUUGCUCCACUAAAGGCUAAAAAAAUUAGACUGACCGAAUCUCCCUAUGGUUAAACAAUAAGAGUGUUAAAGAGACUUUAAGGGAAUCUGUUGAGCAGCUGAGAGAAAAUGGAGGAAAACUACAGUUCUCUGUAAGAUAUACAAAGAAGCCAUGGCUGCCCAUAACAAGCAAUACCUCGGACAUAAAGGGAUUAGCCUACUUUCCCAAAAAAAUCACAAACCAUACUGGGAAGUCCAGAAUAGAUUAGCUACUCAACACUGCCCCCACCUGUCUGCAGUUCUCUGCAUCACAGAGUGAAGAACUUGCAUUGUUCUUAAAAACCUCAAUAACUUCAGUUAGAGCUGUUAUUACUGCUGAUGUAAAGGCAGAUGACAUCAGUAAACCAUCAAACAAAGAUGUAAUCAUGGGGAAAUUGAGUUUUGUGACAUUACCUGAGCUUUGCAAGACUGUCACUCAGUGUAACUCCUUGACCCCAUGUAUCGACUUUGUACCUACAACAUUUCUAAGAGGGCGCUCGACAGUGUUUCAAGUCAAGCCCUGAAGAUUGGAAAUUCAGGCACCUCCCCAGGUGCCUUCAAAACAGCUGCUGUAAUACUAGAGAAACCAAACCCAGAUGUACAUGCACUGACCAGUUAUAGGUCGAUAGGCAACCUCUCAUUCAUUGGUACAAGACUUGUAAAAAGUAGUUUCAGUGCAACAUAAACUCCUUUCUAAAAGAGAAUAGUAUCUUGGAAGGAUUUCUAUCAGGCUUUAGAACAUACCACAACACUGAAACUGCUCAUUUCUUGUCGUCUUAAGGCCCUGGCUAACCAAGCCAACGAUUGGCCAUGCCCAAGUAGUUGUGGUGUGUAUAUUCCUAUUCUUAUUCUCAUUGUGCUCAUGCUACAUGAGUCCCACACCAUCUGCACAGAGAUGAAUGGAUAUCAGAUAAAUAACUUAAAACUAGCACCACUGCAGUUGCGUUUUAAGAGAAUAGGAGUGUGUUCAAAUAAAAGAGGCUUGGCACAUAAACAUAAUCGCCUUAAUACACACCUGAGGGGAUGGGUGGUGGGGAGA